rnacentral:tRNA from 1 species
GUUCAGGUGGCCGAGUGGUUGGACUGCUAAUCCAAUGGGGUUUCCCCGCGUGAGUUCGAAUCUCAUCCUGAACG